rnacentral:rRNA from 1 species
UACAUGGGGUGCAAACGUUGCUCGGAAUUAUUGGGCGUAAAGCGCGCGUAGGCGGUUACUUAAGUCGGAUGUGAAGGCCCUCGGCUUAACUGAGGAAGUGCACCCGAAACUGAGUAGCUAGAGUACGAAAGAGGGUCGCGGAAUUCCCGGUGUAGAGGUGAAAUUCGUAGAUAUCGGGAGGAACACCGGUGGCGAAGGCGGCGACCUGGGUCGAGACUGACGCUGAGGCGCGAAAGCGUGGGGAGCAAACAGG